rnacentral:rRNA from 1 species
UACGUAGGGUGCAAGCGUUAUCCGGAAUUAUUGGGCGUAAAGAGCUCGUAGGCGGUUUGUCGCGUCUGCUGUGAAAACUGGAGGCUCAACCUCCAGCCUGCAGUGGGUACGGGCAAACUAGAGUGCGGUAGGGGGAGAUUGGAAUUCCUGGUGUAGCGGUGAAAUGCGCAGAUAUCAGGAGGAACACCGGUGGCGAAGGCGGGUCUCUGGGCCGAUACUGACGCUGAGGAGCGAAAGCGUGGGGAGCGAACAGG